AGGGUGAUGGCGUGCCUUUUGAAGAAUGAGCCUGCGAGUUAGCGAUACGUGGCGAGGUUAACCCGUGUGGGGUAGCCGUAGCGAAAGCGAGUCCGAAUAGGGCGUUUGAGUCGCGUGUUCUAGACCCGAAGCGGAGUGAUCUAUCCAUGGGCAGGUUGAAGCGCCGGUAAGACGGCGUGGAGGACCGAACCCACUUCAGUUGAAAAUGGAGGGGAUGACCUGUGGAUAGGGGUGAAAGGCCAAUCAAACUCCGUGAUAGCUGGUUCUCCCCGAAAUGCAUUUAGGUGCAGCGUUGCGUGUUUCUUGCCGGAGGUAGAGCACUGGAUAGCCGAUGGGCCCGACCAGGUUACUGACGUUAGCCAAACUCCGAAUGCCGGUAAGUGUGAGCGUGGCAGUGAGACUGUGGGGGAUAAGCUUCAUAGUCGAGAGGGAAACAGCCCAGACCAUCGGCUAAGGCCCCUAAGAGGCGGCUAAGUGGAAAAGGAUGUGGAGUCGCAGUGACAACCAGGAGGUUGGCUUGGAAGCAGCCACCCUUGAAAGAGUGCGUAAUAGCUCACUGGUCAAGUGAUUCCGCGCCGACAAUGUAGCGGGGCUCAAGCCGCCCGCCGAAGCCAUGGCAAUCGCAUUCAACCCAGGCCAUCACUUGAUGGUGGUCCAGGGGUGCGGUUGGGUAGGGGAGCGUCGUGUCACGGGUGAAGCGCCGGAGUGAUCCAGGUGUGGAUGUGACACGAGUGAGAAUGCAGGCAUGAGUAGCGAAUCACGGGUGAGAAACCCGUGCGCCGAUUGAUCAAGGGUUCCAGGGUCAAGCUAAUCUGCCCUGGGUAAGUCGGGACCUAAGGCGAGGCCGACAGGCGUAGUCGAUGGACAACGGGUUGAUAUUCCCGUACCGGCGAAAUGGCGCCCAUGAUGAGCCCGGUGAUGCUAACCACCCAAAGCACCUCGUAUCAAUGCCUUCGGGCUGCGAGCUUGGUGUGGAGCGUGGGACCCGACCCGGUAGUAGUCAAGCGAUGGGGUGACACAGGAAGGUAGCCCAACCGCCGCGAUGGUAGACGGCGGGUAAGCAUGUAGGGGGUGUGGUAGGCAAAUCCGCCACACGGCCGUUUGAUCGGUGGCCCUGAGAUGUGAUGCCGACCCCGUAGGGGGGAAGUGGGUGAUCCUAUGCUGUCGAGAAAAACCUCUAGCGAGCCAUGAGCCGCCCGUACCCGAAACCGACUCAGGUGAUCAGGUAGAGAAUACCGAGGCGAUCGAGACAACCAUGGUUAAGGAACUCGGCAAAAUGCCCCCGUAACUUCGGGAGAAGGGGGGCCUGGAUCGUGUAGCCGCUUGCCGGUGUAGCGUGAAGGGCCGCAGAGACCAGGGGAAAGCGACUGUUUACUAAAAACACAGGUCCGUGCGAAGUUGUAAGACGAUGUAUACGGACUGACUCCUGCCCGGUGCUGGAAGGUUAAGAGGACGGGUUAGACCGCAAGGUCGAAGCUCAGAAUUUAAGCCCCAGUAAACGGCGGUGGUAACUAUAACCAUCCUAAGGUAGCGAAAUUCCUUGUCGGGUAAGUUCCGACCUGCACGAAUGGAGUAACGACUUUCCUACUGUCUCAACCAUGGACUCGGCGAAAUUGCACUACGAGUAAAGAUGCUCGUUACGCGCGGCAGGACGGAAAGACCCCGGGACCUUUACUAUAGUUUGGCAUUGGUGUUUGGUUCGGCUUGUGUAGGAUAGGUGGGAGACUGUGAAACCUCGACGCCAGUCGGGGUGGAGUCAACGUUGAAAUACCACUCUGGUCGUACUAGAUGUCUAACCUAGGGCCAUGAUCUGGUUCAGGGACAGUGCCUGAUGGGUAGUUUAACUGGGGCGGUUGCCUCCCAAAGAGUAACGGAGGCGCUCAAAGGUUCCCUCAGCCUGGUUGGCAAUCAGGUGUUGAGUGUAAGUGCACAAGGGAGCUUGACUGUGAGACAGACAUGUCGAGCAGGGACGAAAGUCGGAACUAGUGAUCCGGCAACUGCGAGUGGAAGCGUUGUCGCUCAACGGAUAAAAGGUACCCCGGGGAUAACAGGCUGAUCUUCCCCAAGAGUCCAUAUCGACGGGAUGGUUUGGCACCUCGAUGUCGGCUCGUCGCAUCCUGGGGCUGGAGUAGGUCCCAAGGGUUGGGCUGUUCGCCCAUUAAAGCGGCACGCGAGCUGGGUUUAGAACGUCGUGAGACAGUUCGGUCCCUAUCCGCCGCGCGCGUAGGAAACUUGAGAAAGGCUGUCCCUAGUACGAGAGGACCGGGAUGGACGAACCUCUGGUGUGCCAGUUGUACCGCCAGGUGCAUGGCUGGUUGGCUACGUUCGGAAGUGAUAACCGCUGAACGCAUCUAAGCGGGAAGCACGUUUCAAGAUGAGGUUUCCCACCCCUUGUGGGUUAAGGCCCCCAAAAGAUGAUUGGGUUGAUAGGCCGGAGGUGUACAGCAGCAAUGCCCAGCCGACCGGUACUAAUAGGCCGAAGACUUGCCAC
rnacentral:rRNA from 1 species